rnacentral:misc_RNA from 1 species
UUAUAGUCAUUAGACUUUGCGCUCAGACAUUAUAAUUCUUCUUUUUCAGGUAAGAGUUUUGUUUUGGUGCCGUCGGCAGGCUGACCGUCCCCCUAAUUAAAGGUGGGCGAGCUGCCGAAGCAACCGGGGUUUUUCACAAAGGGUUUAGGCGUCAGGCGCACCGCCCGAGGGCAGUGACCGUGGCCACCGGUCCGCGAGGGACCGACAUUUUUGUAAUGAUCCUUCCGCAGGUUCACCUACGGAAA